AUUGAACGCUGGCGGCAUGCCUUACACAUGCAAGUCGAACGGUAACAGGUUUUCGGCUGCUGACUAGUGGCGGCCGGUUGAGUAAUACAUAGGAAUGUGCCCGAUCGUGGUGGAUCACGGGGGGUAAGGUUUGCUAACAUCGCCUACGACCUCCGACUGAAUACGGGUGAUAUCCGGACCUCUUCCGGCCGUACCGGCCUGUGGCAGAUUAGGUAGUUGGAGGGAUAAAGGCGUACCAAGCCGACGAUCUGUAGCUGGUCUGAGAGGAUGAUCAGCCACACUGGGACUGAGACACGGCCCAGACUCCUACGGGAGGCAGCAGUGGGGAAUAUUGGACAAUGGGCAAAAGCCUGAUCCAGCCAUGCCGCGUGGAGGAUGAAGGCCUUCGGGUUGUAAACUGCUUUUGUAGGGAACGAAAAGCAGCUGUCUAAUAAAGAGCGGUCAUGACGGUACCGAAAGAAUAAGCACCGGCUAACUUCGUG
rnacentral:rRNA from 1 species